rnacentral:rRNA from 1 species
AGAGUUUGAUCCUGGCUCAGGAUGAACGCUGGCGGCGUGCUUAACACAUGCAAGUCGAACGGGAAACCUUUUAUUGAAGCUUCGGCAGAUUUAGCUGGUUUCUAGUGGCGGACGGGUGAGUAACGCGUGGGUAACCUGCCUUAUACAGGGGGAUAACAGUCAGAAAUGACUGCUAAUACCGCAUAAGCGCACAGGACCGCAUGGUCCGGUGUGAAAAACUCCGGUGGUAUAAGAUGGACCCGCGUUGGAUUAGCUGGUUGGUGAGGUAACGGCUCACCAAGGCGACGAUCCAUAGCCGGCCUGAGAGGGUGAACGGCCACAUUGGGACUGAGACACGGCCCAGACUCCUACGGGAGGCAGCAGUGGGGAAUAUUGCACAAUGGGGGAAACCCUGAUGCAGCGACGCCGCGUGAAGGAAGAAGUAUCUCGGUAUGUAAACUUCUAUCAGCAGGGAAGAUAGUGACGGUACCUGACUAAGAAGCCCCGGCUAACUACGUGCCAGCAGCCGCGGUAAUACGUAGGGGGCAAGCGUUAUCCGGAUUUACUGGGUGUAAAGGGAGCGUAGACGGACUGGCAAGUCUGAUGUGAAAGGCGGGGGCUCAACCCCUGGACUGCAUUGGAAACUGUUAGUCUUGAGUGCCGGAGAGGUAAGCGGAAUUCCUAGUGUAGCGGUGAAAUGCGUAGAUAUUAGGAGGAACACCAGUGGCGAAGGCGGCUUACUGGACGGUAACUGACGUUGAGGCUCGAAAGCGUGGGGAGCAAACAGGAUUAGAUACCCUGGUAGUCCACGCUGUAAACGAUGAAUACUAGGUGUGGGAGGACUGACCCCUUCCGUGCCGCAGUUAACACAAUAAGUAUUCCACCUGGGGAGUACGACCGCAAGGUUGAAACUCAAAGGAAUUGACGGGGGCCCGCACAAGCAGUGGAUUAUGUGGUUUAAUUCGACGCAACGCGAAGAACCUUACCAGGACUUGACAUCCAACUAACGAAGUAGAGAUACAUUAGGUGCCCUUCGGGGAAAGUUGAGACAGGUGGUGCAUGGUUGUCGUCAGCUCGUGUCGUGAGAUGUUGGGUUAAGUCCCGCAACGAGCGCAACCCCUAUUGUUAGUUGCUACGAAAGAGCACUCUAGCGAGACUGCCGUUGACAAAACGGAGGAAGGCGGGGACGACGUCAAAUCAUCAUGCCCCUUAUGUCCUGGGCUACACACGUAAUACAAUGGUGGUAAACAGAGGGAAGCAAAGCCGCGAGGCAGAGCAAAUCCCUAAAAGCCAUCUCAGUUCGGAUUGCAGGCUGCAACUCGCCUGCAUGAAGCUGGAAUUGCUAGUAAUCGCGGAUCAGAAUGCCGCGGUGAAUACGUUCCCGGGCCUUGUACACACCGCCCGUCACACCAUGAGAGUCGGGAACACCCGAAGUCCGUAGUCUAACCGCAAGGAGGGCGCGGCCGAGGGUGGGUCCGGUAAUUGGGGUGAAGUCGUAACAAGGUA